rnacentral:lncRNA from 1 species
UCUGACCACCCCAAUUUGAAUUCUACGUGGCUGAUCUUUUCAUACUUCAGAACAGCAGUGAAUAAUGUUUUAAAUAAAGUUAUGGCAAAUAAGCUUAAAACAUGAUUCUGGUUUUCUACAACUUUCACAAGUUCUUUUAAAUGCAAACAAUUCUUUACCAUUUCUUUUCUAGUGCAUCUGCAUUAAGGCUUUGAAUUAUUUGACCCAAGAUUUUACAAUGACUCAGGCUUUACAAGGUUAAAGCAAACAGGUCCAUAACCAUCCUGCCUACUGUGUCACUGAGCCAGCAGGAGCAGUUCCCACGGAGUUCAUGCAAGUAUUUCUUAAGACAAUCUUAAAGUACACUGCAGAUGGAAAUGGAAUGUGCAU